UAGAGGAAGUAAAAGUCGUAACAAGGUUUCCGUAGGUGAACCUGCGGAAGGAUCAUUACCGAGUGCGGGCCUCGCGGCCCAACCUCCCACCCUUGUCUCUAUACACCUGUUGCUUUGGCGGGCCCACCGGGGCCACCUGGUCGCCGGGGGACGCACGUCCCCGGGCCCGCGCCCGCCGAAGCGCUCUGUGAACCCUGAUGAAGAUGGGCUGUCUGAGUACUAUGAAAAUUGUCAAAACUUUCAACAAUGGAUCUCUUGGUUCCGGCAUCGAUGAAGAACGCAGCGAAAUGCGAUAAGUAAUGUGAAUUGCAGAAUUCCGUGAAUCAUCGAAUCUUUGAACGCACAUUGCGCCCCCUGGCAUUCCGGGGGGCAUGCCUGUCCGAGCGUCAUUUCUGCCCUCAAGCACGGCUUGUGUGUUGGGUGUGGUCCCCCCGGGGACCUGCCCGAAAGGCAGCGGCGACGUCCGUCUGGUCCUCGAGCGUAUGGGGCUCUGUCACUCGCUCGGGAAGGACCUGCGGGGGUUGGUCACCACCAUAUUUUACCACGGUUGACCUCGGAUCAGGUAGGAGUUACCCGCUGAACUUAAGCAUAUCAAUAAGGCGGAGGAA
rnacentral:rRNA from 1 species